UGGGGAAUAUUGGACAAUGGGGGAAACCCUGAUCCAGCGACGCCGCGUGGGUGAAGAAGGCCUGCGGGUUGUAAAGCCCUUUCGGUGGGGAAGAAAAGCCUCAAGCUAAUACGUCGGGGUCUUGACGUAACCCACAAAAGAAGCACCGGCUAACUCUGUGCCAGCAGCCGCGGUAAUACAGAGGGUGCGAGCGUUAAUCGGAAUUACUGGGCGUAAAGCGCACGUAGGCGGCUCUGCAAGUCGGGUGUGAAAUCCCCGGGCUCAACCUGGGAACUGCAUUCGAUACUGCAUUGCUAGAGUAUGGGAGAGGGAAGUGGAAUUUCCGGUGUAGCGGUGAAAUGCGUAGAUAUCGGAAGGAACACCAGUGGCGAAAGCGACUUCCUGGACCAAUACUGACGCUCAGGUGCGAAAGCGUGGGGAGCAAACAGGAUUAGAUACCCUGGUAGUCCACGCCAUAAACGAUGAGAACUGGAUGUCGGGAGGGUUAGCCUCUCGGUGUCGUAGCUAACG
rnacentral:rRNA from 1 species